rnacentral:lncRNA from 1 species
AUCAACAUCAUUUGAAAUUUUACAUUAAUUUACUAUAAACUUUUAAAUGGAAAAACUUAAAUACAAGUAAAAUAAUUAAAAUGCAUAUUUUCACAUAAAAAUUUCAGUCAACUUUAAAAAUUGAAAUACAAAAAAUUAAAUCAAUUGGGUUUCAUAUUUUUCUCAACACUUAUUUUUGAAGUAUGAUGUAUGAUUAUCUCAAUAAUCCUACUCUAGUGCACCU